CCACGUCCAUGCUGUAAGCUCCAAAAAUGCUCUUUAUGUCCAGGAACUCUUCAUUAGCCACUUUCUUCUCAAUGUUCUUCACUAAUUUAUCACCAUAGCUCUCAAUGAUAGGGAACAUCUCUUUCAGCUUCCCACUGGUGAAAGUUGGGGACAACACAGUGCGAAUCCUUUUCCACUGGUCAUCCAUAGCCAUGCUAAGAGCUGACUCCAGUCUCC
rnacentral:lncRNA from 1 species